UUGCUCCACCGGAAAAAGAGGAGUGGCGAACGGGUGAGUAACACGUGGGUAACCUGCCCAUCAGAAGGGGAUAACACUUGGAAACAGGUGCUAAUACCGUAUAACAAUCGAAACCGCAUGGUUUUGAUUUGAAAGGCGCUUUCGGGUGUCGCUGAUGGAUGGACCCGCGGUGCAUUAGCUAGUUGGUGAGGUAACGGCUCACCAAGGCCACGAUGCAUAGCCGACCUGAGAGGGUGAUCGGCCACAUUGGGACUGAGACACGGCCCAAACUCCUACGGGAGGCAGCAGUAGGGAAUCUUCGGCAAUGGACGAAAGUCUGACCGAGCAACGCCGCGUGAGUGAAGAAGGUUUUCGGAUCGUAAAACUCUGUUGUUAGAGAAGAACAAGGAUGAGAGUAACUGUUCAUCCCUUGACGGUAUCUAACCAGAAAGCCACGGCUAACUACGUGCCAGCAGCCGCGGUAAUACGUAGGUGGCAAGCGUUGUCCGGAUUUAUUGGGCGUAAAGCGAGCGCAGGCGGUUUCUUAAGUCUGAUGUGAAAGCCCCCGGCUCAACCGGGGAGGGUCAUUGGAAACUGGGAGACUUGAGUGCAGAAGAGGAGAGUGGAAUUCCAUGUGUAGCGGUGAAAUGCGUAGAUAUAUGGAGGAACACCAGUGGCGA
rnacentral:rRNA from 1 species